GUUUCGGUCCUGAUUGGCGAACAUGUCGGCGAUCACCUGAUCCGCCGCUAUCCCGGGCUUUAGGCGACCUUUGCCCUCCGACACCUGCAGCUUGAUGAAUUCGGCAAACUGCGGAAACGCCGCGCAGGAGCUAUUCUACAGGAAGUGGUGGUACGUCAAAAUGGCUGCCCAUCACCUCUUCCUGUGGUACAGCUGCGUCCUUGUUGACGUCCAUGGCCUGGAACAAAUCUUCAGGUGUGUCCUGCAGCCACACGAAAAGGUAACCGGGCGGCACGCCCUUCUGCACGCCUACCAUCUCAAUCUCAAACACCAGCA